CACGGCCUAUCAGCUUGUUGGUGGGGUAAUGGCCUACCAAGGCAUCGACGGGUAGCUGGUCUGAGAGGAUGAUCAGCCACACUGGGACUGAGACACGGCCCAGACUCCUACGGGAGGCAGCAGUGGGGAAUCUUGCACAAUGGGCGAAAGCCUGAUGCAGCAACGCCGCGUGCGGGAAGAAGGCCUUAGGGUUGUAAACCGCCUUCAGCAGGGAAGAAACUGACGGUACCUGCAGAAGAAGGUGCGGCCAACUACGUGCCAGCAGCCGCGGUGACACGUAGGCACCAAGCGUUGUCCGGAUUUAUUGGGCGUAAAGAGCUCGUAGGCGGUUCGGUAAGUCGGGUGUGAAAACUCUGGGCUCAACCCAGAGAUGCCACUCGAUACUGCCGUGACUCGAGUGCGGUAGGGGAGCGGGGAAUUCCUGGUGUAGCGGUGAAAUGCGCAGAUAUCAGGAGGAACACCAGUGGCGAAGGCGCCGCCCUGGGCCGUAACUGACGCUGAGGAGCGAAAGCGUGGGUAGCAAACAGGAUUAGAUACCCUGGUAGUCCACGCCGUAAACGUUGGGCACUAGGUGUGGGUCUCAACCAACGAGAUCCGCGCCGUCGCUAACGCAUUAAGUGCCCCGCCUGGGGAGUACGG
rnacentral:rRNA from 1 species